rnacentral:rRNA from 1 species
UACGGAGGGUGCAAGCGUUGUCCGGAAUCACUGGGCGUAAAGGGCGCGUAGGCGGCUCAUGAAGGCUGUGGUGAAAGUCCGGGGCUCAACCUCGGAUCGGCCGUGGCGACUCGUGGGCUGGAGCACUGUAGAGGCGGGUGGAAUUCCGGGUGUAGCGGUGGAAUGCGUAGAGAUCCGGAAGAACGCCAGUGGCGAAGGCGGCCCGCUGGGCAGUGGCUGACGCUGAGGCGCGAAAGCAUGGGGAGCGAACAGG